AAAGUGGACAAGACGGUCGUCGGUUCCAACGCAUCUCUGAUAGAGAAGGAACGGGAGGAAAGUCCGAGCUCCACAGGACGCAGUGCUCCGUAACGCGGAGUCCCGGUGACGGGAAGGAAAGUGCAACAGAAAAUAUACCGUCCCGCCUUCUGGCGGGAUAAGGGUGAAAUGGCGGGGUCGUUCCCUGUUGAAAAUAUACAGGGGCAAGUAUCGACUUAAUGUAAGAGCCCACCGCUCCGGUGGUGACAUCGGAGGCAUGGCAAACCCCACUGGGAGAAAGGCUAAAUAGGGAGGGAUGAAGUGGUCCGCUUCGCUAGAACCUCUGGGUAAGCCGUUUGACCUCGCUGGCAACAACGAGGCUAGAUAAAUGACCGUCCACGACAGAACUCGGCUUAUAGUCUACUUAAACA
rfam:Candidatus Brocadia sinica JPN1 DNA, contig: brosiA.